GAUGAACGCUGGCGGCGUGCCUAAUACAUGCAAGUCGAGCGAACGGACGAGAAGCUUGCUUUUCUGAUGUUAGCGGCGGACGGGUGAGUAACACGUGGAUAACCUACCUAUAAGACUGGGAUAACUUCGGGAAACCGGAGCUAAUACCGGAUAAUAUUUUGAACCGCAUGGUUCAAAAGUGAAAGACGGUCUUGCUGUCACUUAUAGAUGGAUCCGCGCUGCAUUAGCUAGUUGGUAAGGUAACGGCUUACCAAGGCAACGAUGCAUAGCCGACCUGGGAGGGGGGUCGGCCACCCUGGAACUUAGACACGGUCCAGGCGCCUACGGGAGGCAGCAGUAGGGAAUCUUCGGCAAUGGGCGAAAGCCUGACGGAGCAACGCCGCGUGAGUGAUAAAGGUCUUCGGUUCGUAAAACUCUGUUAUUAGGGAAAAACAUAUGUGUAAGUAACUGUGCACAUCUUGACGGUACCUAAUCAGAAAGCCCCGGCUAACUACGUG
rnacentral:rRNA from 1 species